UGGGGUUUCAGGCUUAGUAUUUUAGGGUUUAUGGUUUUGCGGUUUAGGAUUUUAGGGUUUAGGGGUUUAGGAUUUAUGGUUUAGGAUUUUAUGGUUUAGGAUUUUGGGGUUUAGGAUUUAGAGUUUAAGAUUUAGAGUUUAGGCUUUAGGAUUUUAUGGUUUAGGGUUUAAGGUUUAGGAUUUAGAUUUUAAGGUUUUGGUGUUUAGGAUUUUAGGGUAUAGGGUUUAGGGGUUUGGGUUUAGGGCUUAUGGUUUAGAGUUACGGCUUUAGUGGUUUUGGGUUUA
rnacentral:lncRNA from 1 species